rnacentral:lncRNA from 1 species
CAUGCCAAGAAGAACGGAGGUUCUGCAGCCAAUGGUACCAUUGGAGUGGAGUUGGCUUCCUCCGUCGCUGCGCUGCCUUUCCUCUCCAACCCUGCAUACCUCUGAUGUUGAGGAAGCCUCUAGGUAAAGUUGAUUGGUCAUUUCAGUUUAGAUGAACAUUGCUCUAGGUUAUUGUUCGUUUCCUUGAUCUGUGGCUACUGCAAAGUUUGUAAUAUCAGUGUUGGUGUGCUAAUCUUAACCAAUAUGUGGCAUGAGGAUGCUGUUCGUUAAUGUUUAGGAAUUUGUAUCCUUGAAGUAUGUAGAGGCAUAAUUUUAAAUGUGAAACCCAUAUACAAUGAUAAUUUGGUUUACUCCUGAGUUUUGGCCUUAAGAGUGAGAAAGUUGGUACUUUAUUUGUCUUGUGUUCUGAAUCUGUUACUUCGUGCUUAUAUUGUUGUGGAUUAGGGGAACUUUCAGUUUGCUUGGAAGUGCUGAUGUCCUUAUAAUGUAUUGUGAUAUACUACCUCUGUUUUCUAGAUACAAGACGUUUUAACAGUUAAGAUUGAACUGCCAAAACAUCUUAUAUUUAGGAACAGAGUGUACUAGUUUGUCUCACAUUUUUCUGUUGGGAUACUGAUGUCCUGAUAAUGGCAUUGUGAUGUACUCCCUCUGUAAAGAAAUAUAAAAGUGUUUAGAACACUAAAACACUCUUAUAUUUCUUUACAGAGGGAGUAGUUUUUUCACAUUUUUCUGCUGGGAUACUGAUGCAUUAGGUGGUGUAGUGAAUCGAUUUCUGUUUCUUUUGUCACUAGUCAUUGUCUCCCCUGCAUUGUACAUUUUUUUCUUCGAAUUGAAGAGCAUAGCUCCCAAUUUUCAUUCAUCAUGAAAGCUGAUGAUACAGCUGCUGCGAGAUCGACCUCCAAGGUUCGAAAGUUCCUUACAUAGCAAACACUGCAUCACUGGUACCGCCUUUGUCUUUAUAUACCAAAAGCACAACUAACCACGCCCCAUGCAAUGUCAACGAGCAAAGUGUAAACAAAUGUUCAAUCGUUCCAUCAUGAUCAUAGAACCUGCAUUUAACCCCCCCACCCCCCUAACAAGUUGUCCUUGGUUAGAUUACUGUUCUUAAACAUGAGCCAGAGAAAAAAAAUUAUUAUCCAAAGGAGCUUUUACAAACCAUAAGUUCAUAAAGGGUCAUUUCACCUGAAUACAGGGACUUAGCAGAAAACAUACUAAAAGAUGUUAAAGUCCAUAUACAUCUACCUCUAUCAUAGUAUCAUCAGUUAAAACUAUCCCAACACACAAAUUUGUAAUUGUUGACAAGCCACAGCUAAAUCUCCUCUCAAGCUCCUUCCGAAAUGAAUACUGCCCAAUCCCUCCUCAAACACUCUUGCUACAGUAAUAUUAAAACUUACAUUUACACUAUAUAAUCUAUGGAAUUUAAUGCACAGAGCAGUACCUCCUAACUUUUGUCCUAUCAGAAUCUACAAUUACCCACUUUUAUCUUUAUGAACUUGUAAAAAAUAUUCCAACUCAAAACUCCAUGAAUGGGACCCCACUGGAUUACUUUUAACAUGAACCAACAUAUUUACUACAAUAUUUUUUUCUAACUAAAUCCUGCCAUAAUCCAUACUCAAUUUUCAGCUUCCACAACCACUUGCUAAUUAAGCAGAUAUUCAUUUACUUUGUGCAAAGGCCCUUUUGGAAUAAUAAACAUAGGCAUCAUGAGAUAUAAGGUACAUUACUUAAGCAAAAACGUAUUCCCAUAAGCAAUCAUCCUUCCUGCCAAGUCCCCAAUUUACCUCCAUCUUAUCCUCUACCUUCUUCUAGUCAACUCGGGCCGCGGGGCCACCGUGCGCCGCCGGCCGCCGCGCACCGACGACUAGUCCAAGAACCGCGUCGACAUGCUCAAGAAGAAGUACAAGGCCGAGCGCGCCCGCGGCGAGCCCUCCGCCUGGAACUUCUACGGCGAGCUCGACCGCCUCGUCGGGCCCCACCCUCUCCGCCUCCGCCGCCACCAAGAAGCACCCCUCCUCCGGGCCGCUGGCACCUCACUUCGCCCUGCCCCUCCACCCUUCCGCCGCCAGGAGGCACCCGUCGCCCUCGUCUUCGCCGUCCCCGCCUCCGCCCAUGGCUGUGCCGCUGCCCAACUACCGUCGCGGGGUGCCUCUCCCUGCCGCCGCGUUUAUCCAGUAGGCCGCCGCUGCCGCGGUUUCUGAUUCAGAUGACUCUGGUGAUCUCGGUGUAACGCCUCGAGACCGACGCUCCAGACGCCUUCCAUGUUUUUCGAGUUUCGUCAUGUGUAUUUAUUUGUUUGUUGCAUUCAUCAUCGCAUUGCAUCUGCAAGUUUUCAUAAAACUUGCAUCCGCUCGUAGUUGCCGCGUCCCUCCUUGCUUUUGUUGACCGUUCCGAGACCAACCGUGUUUUCGGUUCCCUCUUGUCAAACCAACUAACCUCUCUCGUCAGCCCGCGAUCCCCUCGCGCGUGUCCGAAAAUUGUCCUGAACCCGACCCGGGUUGUUGUUAUCGAUGGGUCCGGAUCAUCCCCAAACAUCUAUAAAACAUCAUCGUUUCUUAUAUAGACUCUUCUAGCCUAUUUUCUCGACCGCCCGAUUACGAUCGGACGGACCGAAUACCCCUAAUCUAAUCCACCCGCAUAUAUAAAUGGGGGCAACCCUAAAUUUUGGGAGAGUUGUCCCAUCCUUCCUCCUCGCCGCCGCCACCCGGUCUCGAUCCACCUCGGGAUCCCCCUUCUCCUCGUUUUCCUCCACCCACCAACCAGCGCUCUCCACUGCCCCUCCCCGAUUUGCUCGCCCGGCCAACCAGAGCAGCUCCUCGAUCCACUCCACACCGACCCCCAUCGCCCUCCUCCCGUGCUUCCCGCGCGCCGCCGCAAGCAGCAGCACCACCGGAGCUCCCUUCGCCGUCGGGCACCACCAGCAGGUCGCCGUCUCCUCGCGCCCCUUCUUCCCUUUCUCUGGUUCCCCCCUGCUUCUGUUUCUCUCUCUCUCACGCUGCUCUCUCUCUGUUUGUCUUCGCAGCGCCGCCAUGGAUGGCCUCCCAUAGCUCCCGCUCGUUGCGUCGCCGUGAGUUCCGCCCGAUCCGCGUCGGAGAGCCUCGGACCUGUCCAUCCCCUUCGUCCCUCGACGCCGAGUCCCUCUGCUCGCCCGCGCCAAGACCAGCGAGCAGCUGCCUGCGUUCCACGCCCGAUGCCUCCUCUUCGACCCCCUGUGAACCCCGACGCCACCUCAUGCUGCCGCCGCCGGUGACCAGCAGGUCAUGUCGCCGUGCCCUGCCUCCUCUUCUUCGCGUUCUGCUUCUUCCCGCCGUCUUCUCUCUGCGUCUCUUGCUCAGUUCAUCUCUCUCACUUUGUUAUUCUGCAGAGACCUCGCCAUGGAUCCUCGUGGCCGGGCUCUCCCCGUCGCUGGAUGCCUCGCCGACCCGCCGGAUCCACGCCCGCCGGCCUCCACCGCAAGUUCUAGGCCGCCGCUGCUCUGCUUUCUGUCGGGCAAAGGAACACGCCCUGCUUUCCCUGCCUCGCUCGAUCUCCUGGAGGAGAGGACGAGCGCGUUGACCGCGCCUCCAGCGUCCUCCAAGGCCCAGCCCGCACUGCCUCAGCCGCCUCCACCGACUUGGGCCUUGGCCCAGGGUGAGCAGCACCCGCCCCUCUCCUGCGCACUGUUGGCCUAGCCAGAUUCGGCCCGAGUCACGUUUUUUUUCGCGGAACGUUUUUCUAAAUAACCAGUGCACUGCAUAUUUACAUAUUGGACCCUAAACUUCAUGCAUAUAAUAACUCAUGAACCAUGCAUCAUAUUAGAAUGAUGUAAACAUAUAAAGUGCUUAGAAUUUUAUCUAGUUUCAUAAUAUGCUUCUCUCAUCCAUGUUUAAAAUGUUCAAAAUGCUGUUUGAUUAAAUUUACUCAAUUGCCAUGCUAAAAUGUUUUAUUUCAUAACUAAAUAACCGUAGCUCCAUUUUAAAUAAACUUUAUAUGUAAAUGGGGUAGGAAAAUGCAUAGAUUAACAUGGUGCACUUUAUUUUGCUGUUUAACAACAAUACAAUAUGGUUUUAGGCAGAACAGUACCAAAUCUAAAAUAUGGACAUGAGGAUUUUCCGGAAUUGUUGUUGAUUGUUUCCGGCCUCAUUUAACUUGCUUAAAUAGUUAGUUUACUUAUGCUUCACCCCUUGCCAUGUUUAACAACAUUUAAUAUUGUUGGGUACAUAAACGAGAGAGAACUAAAUAAUUGAUGUGGUGUUUCGUCAAUAUGCAACUCGUUGCAUAUCGAGCUCCAUUUAAUUUAAUUUGUAGUAUUGUUUGUUGCACUUUGCCAUGCCAUGCCUCAUUAAAUCGGACAUGCAUCAUACUUGGUUGUGCAUCAUGCCAUGUUUAUGUGAUGAUUGUUUACUAUGUUUUUUGUUUCUUUCCGGGUUGCUUCUCUCGUUAGCUUCGGUUUUGUUCCGGAGUUGUGAGGAUUCGUUCGACUACGUCCGCUUGUCAUCUUCAUGGACUCGUUCUUCUUCCUUGCGGGAUUUCAGGCAAGAUGACCAUACCCUCGAAAUCACUUCUAUCUUUGCUUGCUAGUUGUUCGCUCUAUUGCUAUGCUGCGCUACCUACCACUUGCUAUAUCAUGCCUCCCAUGUUGCCAUGUCAAGUCUCUAACCAUCCUUUCCUAGCAAACCGUUGUUUGGCUAAGUUACCGCUUUUGCUCAGCCCUUCUUAUAGCGUUGAUAGUUGCAGGUAAAGUUGAAGGUUGUUCCUUGUUGGAACAUGGAUAUGUUGGGAUAUCACAAUAUCUCUUAUUUAAUUAAUGCAUCUAUAUACUUGGUAAAGGGUGGAAGGCUCGGCCUUAUGCCUGGUGUUUUGUUCCACUCUUGCCGCCCUAGUUUCCGUCAUACCGGUGUUAUGUUCCUUGAUUUUGCGUUCCUUACGCGGUUGGGUGAUUUAUGGGACCCCCUUGACAACUCGCUUUGAAUAAAACUCCUCCAGCAAGGCCCAACCUUGGUUUUACCAUUUGCUACCACCUAUCCCCUUUUCUCUUGGGUUCUGCAGACUCAAGGGUCAUCUUUAUUUUAAACCCCCGGGCCAGUGCUCCUCUGAGUGUUGGUCCAACCUAUCAGUCGCCGGUGGCCACCAGGGGCAACUCUGGGCUCGCCUAUCGGAAGCUUGGACAAUCCGGUGUGCCCUGAGAACGAGAUAUGUGCAGCUCCUAUCGGGAUUUGUCGGCACAUUCGGGCGGUUUUGCUGGUCUUGUUUUACCAUUGUCGAAAUGUCUUGUAACUAGGAUUCCGAGACUGAUUGGGUCUUCCCGGGAGAAGGAAUAUCCUUCGUUGACCGUGAGAGCUUAUAAUGGGCUAAGUUGGGACACCCCUGCAGGGUAUAAACUUUCGAGAGCCGUGCCCGCGGUUAUGUGGCAGAUGGGAAUUUGUUAAUAUCCGGUUGUAGAGAACUUGACACUUGACUUAAUUAAAAUGCAUCAACCGCGUGUGUAGCCGUGAUGGUCUCUUCUUGGCGGAGUCCGGGAAGUGAACACGGUUUUGGGUUAUGUUUGACGUAAGUAGGAGUUCAGGAUCACUUCUUGAUCAUUACUAGUUGACGACCGUUCCGUUGCUCCUCUUCUCGCUCUUAUUUGCGUAUGUUAGCCACCAUAUAUGCUUAGUGCUUGCUGCAGCUCCACCUCACUACCUUCUCCUACCCAUAAGCUUAAAUAGUCUUGAUCUCGCGGGUGUGAGAUUGCUGAGUCCUCGUGACUCACAGAUACUUCCAAACAGUUGCAGGUGCCGAUGAUACCAGUGCAGGCGAUGCUACCCAGCUCAAGUGGGAGUUCGACGAGGACCUUGGUCGUUACUAUGUUUCGUUUCCUGAUGAUCAGUAGUGGAGCCCAGUUGGGAUGAUCGGGGAUCUAGCAUUUGGGGUUGUCUUCUUUUCUUUUGGUUCCGUAGUCGGACCUAUGUGUGUACUCUGAUUGAUGUAUGAUUUAUUUAUGUAUUGUGUGAAGUGGCAAUUGUAAGCCAACUCUUUAUCCCAUUCUUGUUCAUUACAUGGGAUUGUGUGAAGAUGACCCUUCUUGCGACAAAACCACAAUGCGGUUAUGCCUCUAAGUCGUGCCUCGACACGUGGGAGAUAUAGCCGCAUCGUGGGUGAUACAAGUUGGUAAUCAGAGCCAUCCCCGACUUAGGAGCCCCCUGCUUGAUCGAAUCGCUGGCGUUGUUGAGUCUAGAAAAAAAUGUUUUGAGUCUUAGGAUUAUAUAUAUCGGAGAGUAGGAUUCUUUUUACUCCUCAGUCCCUUCGUCGCUCUGGUUAGGCCCCCUGACGUAGAAGUUUUGACUUUUCUCUCCUCAAAUUUCACUAAUUUUUUUUAGGAUCACGCGGGUAUCUUAGAAUCGUUCCGAUGGUUUUGUGACGAGAACAUUGUUCUUGGUGCCUCCUGACAUUUAGGGGUUGUGGCAUUGUCCCGGAGAGUUGAGCUUCGAGGUGUUGUCAUCACAAUUUUAUCGUUGCAGUUCUGGAAUACCUGAGUUUCGCCAACUUCGAAAAUCUCUUUUAUGCAGUUGUUGGUGAGAUCACCUCGACGCCACCCAGUACUGGGGCGGGAGUUCGGGAGUAUUGCCAUAACUCGUAUAACGGAUGCUUUUCGAAGGUUGAGGUACAUGAUUUCCGGAGUUUUCUUGGUUAUGUGUUGACAGAUGGAUACAGCUGGAUCUAGGUAUUGUUAGUUUGGGUGAGAUAUAUUGUGUCCCCUGUAUCCCCAACACCUGAUUGCAUAACCAGAAAGUUUCGGGAGUUUAUAAGUGGGAAUUCAAGUAUCUCGUAGGAUAUCUUUCCAACACACACAUGAUACGAUAUGGGAUCUAUCAUAUGUUUGUUUCCGGCUUAUUCUGCGAGCCAAUCCUUUGUUUUGUUUUGAUUUGUGGUAUUCGAGUUGCUUCAUUGUCAAGUGUUGAUUCCCUUCCUUUUCUAAGCGGUGUUCUCAUACUUCUAUGUGAAUACCAAUCCUUCUUGAUCAUCGAGAUUGUCAUCCCAAUUCUUUCCAACCGACGUGUUUCUCUUCAAGUGCAUCCGAUCAUUUCAACAUUCACAAGAUCACCUCUCAGUUUUUCCCAACGUUGUUUGUUUCAUCCGUCCCAAGUUGCCUUUGUUUUCCCGCCCUCCCACCCUUUUCCUUCAAGGAAUCAGAUGUCUUAACCAAGUAUCCAUUUUAUUCAUGUGAAGUCCCUUCAUUCUUUUCAAUCAAUGUUCUUACCCGGUGGUUCUCAUGAAGAUGUUCUUCAAGUUUAUCAUUCUUCAUUAUUUUUCUUCUCCGGUGGAUUCAAUUCAAGCUUUCUCUCAAUCAUAUAUUUUCCUCGUUUCAAAUGCUUUCUCAUGCCGGUGUACCUCUUAAUCUUCCACCUCUUGCUAUUCAUGUUUAUCUGGAGUGCUAAAGAUAUCCCAGAAGAUUCAAGUUUCUAUUCGUAAUCCUUUCAAGCUAUCUCGAGGUUGUUAUCUCUUUUGAGCCAUUUAAUUCUACCGGCGCAAUCUUUCUUUUAAAUCAUUCCAACGUUGUUUCUUUUGAGUGGGCCCUAACCCACAGGUCUUUUCCCAGGAUCUUACCUGACUCUUCUAAUUUUUUUUUGGAGUUAUUUUCAAAUUCAUUUCAAAGUUUGACGUAAGAAUGAGUCAUCAUCAGUCAAAUGUCUUUCUCCAAGAUCUUUCAAAUUCUUUCAUCGUUGGUUCAUCAUUUCUAUUAUCCAUUGUUCCGGAGUGUCUCAAUAAUUUUGGUGGUAUUUCUCGUCAUCAUUCUCAACAUUUGAAUACCGAAGAAGAGUUCCUCUUCAAUCUUGUCCGUUCUCUUGAAGAUUCAUGGUUCUAACUUGUUGCCAUCCUCUCAACUUGUUGCCAAUCGCGCUAUUUUUUUCUUACCCAUCCGGAGCAUUUCAGAGUUGUUUUCAUUUUUUGAUCAUCCAAAGGCCAUCUUUUCAGAAGAUUUCUUCGUUCUAAGUUUUCAGCCUCGUUCUCCAGUUAUUCUAAAUUGAUGUCUCUUCGUUCAUCUCCAUAUUCUCCCGGUGCAUCGUUCAAGUAUCCUCUAGUCAGCUCGUGAUCUAUUCGUUCUCAUGUAUCUAAAUUCCCUCGAGUAUUUUCACGCGUUCUUUAAUUCUUACGGUGUUUCGUCCUCUUUUCUUCAAUUGUUUUCAAUUCUCGUGGUGGUUCGUUCAAGAUUUCUCUUCCUUCGUUAUCAUAUCAAUUUAUUCGUUGUUUCAAUCCUACCGGUGGUUCGAUGAAGACCUUCCCAAGUUUGCGCAAUAUCUAUCUUAAUCCUUUCUACGAGAAUAAGUAGUAUGCCAAAUCCGUUGCUUGUCAUCAAUUUAAAUUGGUGAAGGAUAUGCAUAACGUAAUUCUUAUUAUGGUUUCAUCCAAGUGAUCUAGUUUCUUCUUUCCAGAGUUGUUCAUCAUGUCACAUUUCUCGGUUCGAGAGGCUUCAUCCUUUUCUUUUCCGGAGUUCCAAGUUUUCCGCAUUAUCUCGUCGCGAAGCUACAUCUAAAUCAUCGCAAGGCUUCACCUUAUGUUUUCAACUUUCGUUUCGUUUGGUCAUUCUUUUAUUACCGGAGUUCUUCAUGGAGGCUCUACAUGGUGGUUCGUCAAGGGUUCCUUUCAUUCUUCAAGUGUUCUUCAAGAAUUCUCUCGAAGCUAAGAUCCGCCAAGCUAUACUCUAAAAUAAACAUGGUGCUCAACCCAUGGUUGUCUUGAGGAGUUCAAGCAUUCUUCAUCUCGCAUUCCGAAGUGCAAUUCUUUCUCUCUUAUCUUUUGAGGUGGUGUUAUGUCAUUCUUCAUAAUUUUCUUCAUGUUUCAUGAUUCACAAGUUGUCAAGAUUGAGAUAUUUAAACCCAUCAUAUUUUCUUCGUCCAUGAGUUGUUUCAACCCAUAAUAAUCUCUUUGUUGGAAUUAUCUUGGUAUGGAUUUCACUUAAAGCCUUCUCGAAGGAAUGUUGCUAAUUGUGGUGUCUAUCAAUGAUCCAAGUUUUCUCCUAUCCUCUCGGCGAGAGAAGUUUUCAUCUCUUCGUUGAUCUCAAGCAAGCAAUUGUUUUUCGUUAGUGGCAGAAUUUCACCUCAAGUUUUGAGAUGUCUCCAUAAGCCCACGAAGAUCAUAUCCUUUCUUUGUUGAUUUUUCGACAACUCCGUUCUAUCCUUCUUUUAAGGAUGCUCUCUCAAAUUCACUUAAGGUAGAACAUGUUGUUUUCUUCUCCGUUCUUUUCAUUGCAUUCUUUCAUUUCUACCGGAGGCAUUGUGAUAUUGCUCUCUUCGACCCAUCAUCUUGUUUUGUCAAGAUCAUGUAAUUUUUCCUUUCUUAUCCGUUUAGCCGGAGUGUCGUGUUUUCAUUCGAGUUCUCUCAUCUUAUCAAGUUUAGUCUCCUUCCUCAACCGGAGGGCUGUCUGAAAUCUUUCUUACCCCUUGUGCCAUUCUUUCAUUAGUUCCGGAGGCAAUGUGUUGCUAAUUUCAUCGAGUAUCCUCUCAUCUUGUCAAGAUCAUGUUCAAUUCCUUCCAUUUACAGUCGGAGUGCUGUCCAAAUUAUGUCAUUCUUGUUCCUUGUUUCUCUUUUCUACCGGUGUGCUUUCAUAUUAAUUUUGAUCCGUUAAGCUCUUGUUUCAUGUCCUUCAACCUACAAGGUUCUCGCAAUGUCCCUUGUUCCUCUUGCUGAACGGAGUGUUUUAAAUUAUGUUCACCUCCGUUGUGUCAUUUCUUCAAGCUUUGCGACCUCUCAAGGUUCUUUGAUUUCACUCGUUUGUCAAAUAAGCAACUUUGUUUUACCUCUUCCUCUUCUGUUUCUCUCUGGUGCCAUCCUAGAUCUCGGGACGAGAUCCUCUUGUAGUGGUGGAGUGUUGUAACGCCCCGAGACCGACGCUCCAGACGCCUUCCAUGUUUUUCGAGUUUCGUCAUGUGUAUUUAUUUGUUUGUUGCAUUCAUCAUCGCAUUGCAUCUGCAUGUUUUCAUAAAACUUGCAUCCGCUCGUAGUUGCCGCGUCCCUCCUUGCUUUUGUUGACCGUUCCGAGACCAACCGUGUUUUCGGUUCCCUCUUGUCAAACCAACUAACCUCUCUCGUCAGCCCGCGAUCCCCUCGCGCGUGUCCGAAAAUUGUCCUGAACCCGACCCGGGUUGUUGUUACCGAUGGGUCCGGAUCAUCCCCAAACAUCUAUGAAACAUCAUCGUUUCUUAUAUAGACUCUUCUAGCCUAUUUUCUCGACCGCCCGAUUACGAUCGGACGGACCGAAUACCCCUAAUCUAAUCCACCCGCAUAUAUAAAUGGGGGCAACCCUAAAUUCUGGGAGAGUUGUCCCAUCCUUCCUCCUCGCCGCCGCCACCCGGUCUCGAUCCACCUCGGGAUCCCCUUCUCCUCGUUUUCCUCCACCCACCAACCAGCGCUCUCCACUGCCCCUCCCCGAUUUGCUCGCCCGGCCAACCAGAGCAGCUCCUCGAUCCACUCCACGCCGACCCCCAUCGCCCUCCUCCCGUGCUUCCUGCGCGCCGCCGCAAGCAGCAGCACCACCGGAGCUCCCUUCGCCGUCGGGCACCACCAGCAGGUCGCCGUCUCCUCGUGCCCCUUCUUCCCUUUCUAUGGUUCCCCCUGCUUCUAUUUCUCUCUCUCCCACGCUGCUCUCUCUCUGUUUGUCUUCGCAGCGCCGCCAUGGAUGGCCUCCCGUAGCUCCCGCUCGUUGCGUCGCCGUGAGUUCCGCCUGAUCCGCGUCGAAGAGCCUCGGACCUGUCCAUCCCCUUCGUCCCUCGACGCCGAGUCCCUCUGCUCGCCCGCACCAAGACCAGCGAGCAGCCGCCCGUGUUCCACGCCCGAUGCCUCCUCUUCGACCCCCGUGUGAACCCCGACGCCACCUCAUGCUGCCGCCGCCGGUGACCAGCAGGUCAUGUCGCCGUGCCCUGCCUCCUCUUCUUCGCGUUCUGCUUCUUCCCGCCGUCUUCUCUCUGCGUCUCUUGCUCAGUUCAUCUCUCUCACUUUGUUAUUCUGCAAAGACCUCGCCAUGGAUCCUCGUGGCCGGGCUCUCCCCGUCGCCGGAUGCCUCGCCGACCCGCCGGAUCCACGCCCGCCGGCCUCCACCGCAAGUUCUAGGCCGCCGCUGCUCUGCUUUCUGUCGGGCAAAGGAACGCGCCCUGCUUUCCCUGCCUCGCUCAAUCUCCUGGAGGAGAGGACGAGCGCGUUGACCGCGCCUCCAGCGUCCUCCAAGGCCCAGCCCGCACUGCCUCAGCCGCCUCCACCGACUUGGGCCUUGGCCCAGGGUGAGCAGCACCUGCCCCUCUCCUGCGCACUGUUGGCCUAGCCAGAUUCGGCCCGAGUCACGUUUUUUUUCGCGGAACGUUUUUCUAAAUAACCAGUGCACUGCAUAUUUACAUAUUGGACCCUAAACUUCAUGCAUAUAAUAACUCAUGAACCAUGCAUCAUAUUAGAAUGAUGUAAACAUAUAAAGUGCUUAGAAUUUUAUCUAGUUUCAUAAUAUGCUUCUCUCAUCCAUGUUUAAAAUGUUCAAAAUGCUGUUUGAUUAAAUUUACUCAAAUGCCAUGCUAAAAUGUUUUAUUUCAUAACUAAAUAACCGUAGCUCCAUUUUAAAUAAACUUUAUAUGUAAAUGGGGUAGGAAAAUGCAUAGAUUAACAUGGUGCACUUUAUUUUGCUGUUUAACAACAAUAAAAUAUGGUUUUAGGCAGAACAGUACCAAAUCUAAAAUAUGGACAUGAGGAUUUUCCGGAAUUGUUGUUGAUUGUUUCCGGCCUCAUUUAACUUGCUUAAAUAGUUAGUUUACUUAUGCUUCACCCCUUGCCAUGUUUAACAACAUUUAAUAUUGUUGGGUACAUAAACGAGAGAGAACUAAAUAAUUGAUGUGGUGUUUCGUCAAUAUGCAACUCGUUGCAUAUCGAGCUCCAUUUAAUUUAAUUUGUAGUAUUGUUUGUUGCACUUUGCCAUGCCAUGCCUCAUUAAAUCGGACAUGCAUCAUACUUGGUUGUGCAUCAUGCCAUGUUUAUGUGAUGAUUGUUUACUAUGUUUUUUGUUUCUUUCCGGGUUGCUUCUCUUGUUAGCUUCGGUUUUGUUCCGGAGUUGUGAGGAUUCGUUCGACUACGUCCGCUUGUCAUCUUCAUGGACUCGUUCUUCUUCCUUGCGGGAUUUCAGGCAAGAUGACCAUACCCUCGAAAUCACUUCUAUCUUUGCUUGCUAGUUGUUCGCUCUAUUGCUAUGCUGCGCUACCUACCACUUGCUAUAUCAUGCCUCCCAUGUUGCCAUGUCAAGUCUCUAACCAUCCUUUCCUAGCAAACCGUUGUUUGGCUAAGUUACCGCUUUUGCUCAGCCCUUCUUAUAGCGUUGAUAGUUGCAGGUAAAGUUGAAGGUUGUUCCUUGUUGGAACAUGGAUAUGUUGGGAUAUCACAAUAUCUCUUAUUUAAUUAAUGCAUCUAUAUACUUGGUAAAGGGUGGAAGGCUCGGCCUUAUGCCUGGUGUUUUGUUCCACUCUUGCCGCCCUAGUUUCCGUCAUACCGGUGUUAUGUUCCUUGAUUUUGCGUUCCUUACGCGGUUGGGUGAUUUAUGGGACCCCCUUGACAACUCGCUUUGAAUAAAACUCCUCCAGCAAGGCCCAACCUUGGUUUUACCAUUUGCUACCACCUAUCCCCUUUUCUCUUGGGUUCUGCAGACUCAAGGGUCAUCUUUAUUUUAAACCCCCGGGCCAGUGCUCCUCUGAGUGUUGGUCCAACCUAUCAGUCGCCGGUGGCCACCAGGGGCAACUCUGGGCUCGCCUAUCGGAAGCUUGGACAAUCCGGUGUGCCCUGAGAACGAGAUAUGUGCAGCUCCUAUCGGGAUUUGUCGGCACAUUCGGGCGGUUUUGCUGGUCUUGUUUUACCAUUGUCGAAAUGUCUUGUAACUAGGAUUCCGAGACUGAUUGGGUCUUCCCGGGAGAAGGAAUAUCCUUCGUUGACCGUGAGAGCUUAUAAUGGGCUAAGUUGGGACACCCCUGCAGGGUAUAAACUUUCGAGAGCCGUGCCCGCGGUUAUGUGGCAGAUGGGAAUUUGUUAAUAUCCGGUUGUAGAGAACUUGACACUUGACUUAAUUAAAAUGCAUCAACCGCGUGUGUAGCCGUGAUGGUCUCUUCUUGGCGGAGUCCGGGAAGUGAACACGGUUUUGGGUUAUGUUUGACGUAAGUAGGAGUUCAGGAUCACUUCUUGAUCAUUACUAGUUGACGACCGUUCCGUUGCUCCUCUUCUCGCUCUUAUUUGCGUAUGUUAGCCACCAUAUAUGCUUAGUGCUUGCUGCAGCUCCACCUCACUACCUUCUCCUACCCAUAAGCUUAAAUAGUCUUGAUCUCGCGGGUGUGAGAUUGCUGAGUCCUCGUGACUCACAGAUACUUCCAAACAGUUGCAGGUGCCGAUGAUACCAGUGCAGGCGAUGCUACCCAGCUCAAGUGGGAGUUCGACGAGGACCUUGGUCGUUACUAUGUUUCGUUUCCUGAUGAUCAGUAGUGGAGCCCAGUUGGGACGAUCGGGGAUCUAGCAUUUGGGGUUGUCUUCUUUUCUUUUGGUUCCGUAGUCGGACCUAUGUGUGUACUCUGAUUGAUGUAUGAUUUAUUUAUGUAUUGUGUGAAGUGGCGAUUGUAAGCCAACUCUUUAUCCCAUUCUUGUUCAUUACAUGGGAUUGUGUGAAGAUGACCUUUUUGCGAUAAAACCACAAUGCGGUUAUGCCUCUAAGUCGUGCCUCGACACAUGGGAGAUAUAGCCGCAUCAUGGGUGUUACACUCGGUGAGAACAACAGCAACAACUCGCAUCGGUCAUCGUCCCGCUCCGUUUCAUCGCACUCCGGUGGUAACAACAAGCGCCGCCGCCGCAGCGAAAGCAGCGGUGGUGGCGAUGGUGGUGUCAGCGAGCUGGCGAGGGCGAUCGAGGCAUUUGCAGAGAUGUACGAGCGCGUCGAGAGUGCUAAGCAGAAGCAAUCCCUGGAGAUGGAGCGAGAGCGGAUCAAGUUCAUGAAGCAGCUGGAGGUGAAGCGCAUGGAGAACGUCGUCGAUGCUCAUAUGAAGCUCGCAAGAAUGAAGCAUGCCAGGAAGAACGGAGGUUCUGCAGCCAAUGGUACCAUUGGAGUGGAGUUGGCUUCCUCCGUGGCUGCGCUGCCUUUCCUCUCCAAUCCUGCAUACCUCUAAUGUUGAGGAAGCCUCUAGGUGAAGUUGAUUGGUCAUUUCAGUUUAGAUGAACAUUGCUCUAGGUUAUUGUUCGUUCCUUGAUCUGUGGCUACUGCAAAGUUUGUAAUAUCAGUGUUGAUGUGCUAAUCCUAACCAAUAUGUGGAAUGAGGAUGCUGUUCGUUAAUGUUUAGGAAUUUGUAUCCUUGAAGUAUGUAGAGGCGUAAUUUUAAAUGUGAAACCCAUAUACAAUGACAUUUUGGUUUACUCCUGAGUUUUGGCCUUAAGAGUGAGAAGGUUGGUACUUUAUUUGUCUUGUGUUCUGAAUCUGUUACUUAGUGCUUAUAUUGUUGUGGAUUAUGGGAAUUUUCAAUUUUCUUGGAAGUGCUGAUGUCCUGAUAAUGUAUUGUGAUAUACUACCUCUGUUUUGUAAAUAUAAGACGUUUUGACAAUUAAGAUUGAACUACCAAAACAUCUUAUAUUUAGGAACAUAGGGUGUACUAGUUUGUUUCACAUUUUUCUGAUUGGAUACUAAUGUCGUGAUAAUGCAUUGUGAUGUACUCCCUCCGUAAAGAAAUAUAAGAGUGUUUAGAACACUAAAUUAAACGCUCUUAUAUUUUGUGUUCUAAACACUCUUAUAUUUCUUUACAGAGGGAGUAGUUUUUUUUCACAUUUUUCUGCUGGGAUACUGAUGCAUUAGGUGGUGUAGUGAAUUGACUUCUGUUUCUUUUGUCACUAGUCAUCGUCUCCCCUGCAUUAUACAUUGUUUUCUUUGAAUUGAAGAGCAUAGUUCCCAAUUUUCAUUCAUCAUGAAAGUUGAUAAUACAGCUGCUGCGAGAUCGACCUCCAUGGUUCGAUCAAGUUCCGUACAUAGCAAACAAGAACAUAAAACUUCAACUGCAACAUCUUCGCUAGACCUCCAUCCUAUCCUCUACCAUCUUCUAGUCACUAUUUCUUAGUUUGACAUUAUCCACUGGUAUUCCCUCGUGAGACAUAGAAAGAACUCCAGCGGCACAAAUAAAAAUCUCCCUAUAAAUUGUUUUUUAGCCGGGACAAUGUUCAUAAUACAUAAGACACUCUUAAAGUUUGUAGCAUCUUCACCACUAGCUCUUGAAUUGAAAUUGAAAAGAAAUGUAGCCCCGGUUCCUUCGGAAAUGAUAAGAUCUUUUUAUCACAAACUUGUGUCAUCAACAUACUUUCACGUGCGGAUUCCACCUUCAACUAAAUGUGACACUAUGCCUCUAAUCAAACCAACUUGUUUAGCUCUUUGUAUGAGUUCCUAUAGCACAUCUACCGCAAAAAUGGAAAAGAAUGGAUAAUAAUUGAAAAGAAUGGGUGAGAGAGGAACCCCUGCCUCAACACCUCCCAUGUUUUGGAAUAUGGACCUAUCUGUCCAUAAACAUUGGUUGCAACAUUAACCCCAGAACAAUUUUAUUAAUCCAACAUAUGUACUUCUCUGGAAAACCUUUCAUACUAAGAAUAGAGAAAAGAAAAUGACAACUUAUUUUAUCGUGAGGUUUCUCAAAAUCUACCUUAAACAUCAAUGCACUUUAUCCCCCCCUAUAAACCUCAUGUAAUGUUUCAAGAACCACUCCAUUCAAUAUGAAAAUGUCCUUCAAUGAAAGAAUUCUGCAAUGGAGCUAUUAUUUUAGAUGCCAAGCUAACUGUUCUAUUGUUAACCACCCUAGUCAGCCACUUGAACAACACAUUAAUCAAGCAUAUGGGCCUCAACAUCUGAAUUUUGUCAGCUUCUAGGGUUUUACGUAAAAAAGAAUCAAUAGCAUAAUUCAACCUACUAACAUAUAGUCUACCAUGAAAAAAUGAACUAAACAACUAUAAACACAAUACUUUGUCAACUCCCAUUAAUGCUGGUAAUUUGCAGGCAACCCAUCAGGACCAGAAGCUUUUUUUCAAUUGGCACAAAGCACUUUUAAUUUCUAUGGAUUGAAAUUAUUUAUAAGCAUCUCUCUAUUAGCAUCAUCUAACGCACUUGGAACCGGCAAAUCCCAAUAAAUUUCAGCAGCUAAAGCAACAUGACCAAAUAAGUUCUUGUCAAAGUCUGUAGCAUGUAACAAUAACUCCCUAUCACCCUCAGUUACAUCUUUAUUAUGCUUCUGCGAAACAAUAUAAUACGUCUACACCUGACACUAACUUUUUCCAUAAAGAAUCAAAGCACCUCCAACAUCUAAUAUGUUCUUUUGAUCUCUCUAUCCAUCUAAUUUACUCUUCUCUAGGGCUUUUUUGUAGUUUAUUAUCUAUUUUUUAUCUAUGGAAGAGCUACAUUAUGUGGGUUUCCACAUGGAAAGACAUAAACGUUAUGGACCUGAUGGUUUAUUUAGUGAAUUCCUAAACUUCUGGGAAUUAACUAGAUGGGAUCUCAAGGCUUUGCUUGAUGAUUUCCAUGAGGGACACAUUAGCAUUUCAAGAAAUAACCAUCACAUUAUCAUUUUGGUGCCUAAAACAAAAAUGCUAAACAAAUACAAAAAUGUAGGCCCAUCUUUUCUUAUAAAUGUGAGUUUUAAAAUCAUUAUCAAAGUGUUGAUGAAUAGGUUGAGCAAGGUGGUUGAUCCAAUCACUCACCUAGACGAACUUCCUUUAUUAGGGUUAGGUAUGUUAUGGAGGUGGCAGUAGUGCUGCAUGUGGUAGUUAAUAUGAUUCAUCAUACAAAAACAGAAUGCUCUCCCUUUCAGGGUAGAUUUUGAAAAAAAAGUCUAUUGUAAAAUAUAUUGGCCCUUUGUAGACCAAAUGUUAAAACUAAAAGGAUUCCUUGCUAAAUGAUAUGAUUGGGUCAUUAGUACUACGAGAGAUGGUCAUGUAGGGGUGAUGGUAAAUGAUGAUAUUUUCCCUUAUUGCGAAGCUCACAAAGGGUUGAGACAGGGAGACUCCUUGUCUCCUCUCCUUUUUGAUUUAGAAAGAAAUGCUUUAGCAAUUAUAAUGGAUAAAAAUCAAAGAAAUCCCAUCUUUGCUGCUAUUGAUAGGUUUUUCUCAUCCAUUGCUUGUGAUGCGCACUUUCCUUUGACCACCUUACAUGAGUGGGGAGUGAUCAUGCCCCCCUUUUGUUGGAUUCUGGGUGCAAUAAUAACAAGUUAAAUAGACCUUUUGAUUUGAAAAGUGGUGGUUGUCCCAAUGAGGUUUUAGUGAGUUGGUUGCUCAAAUUUCGACAAGUCCCUCCCCUUUUUCUAUAGCUACUGAUACCUAGAUUUUCAAAACCAAUCUGUUUAGAAAGAAAGUUAAAGGAUGCAGUAGCAAUAUUGAUGCAGCUAUCAAGAAAAAGAAAAAAGACUUGCUUACUAAAUUUGAUAUUCUUGAUGUGUUUUUUGAACAAAAUUUGUCUCAAAAGUCAAAAUAGGAUCUUAACAGAAUGAAAGAAAUUCGGGAUGAACUAAGGGAUAUUUGGAGACUGCCAUGUGGCAGAGAUCUAGUGAUAGAAAAAUCCUCGAAGGAGAUCAAAAUACAACCUAUUUUCGUGCUGUUCCAAAUCAAUGACAGAGAAAAAACCAUCUUGCCUUGUUAAUGGGUGAAGAUGGUCCUGUAACAACUGAUACUGAUAUGCUACAAGUAGCUACCAGCUUUUAUAAAAAAACUUUUUGAUUUUGAACGUAAACGUGGCAUACAUUCGGGGGAGGCCUUUUGGUCCGAGGAAGAUAAAAUUAAUUCCGAGGAGUUGGAAAAACCUUUUACUAAGGAUGAAAUUAAAAGUGCUAUAAUGGGUUCCUAUGCUUGUGGGGCACUAGGGCCAGAUGGUUUAUCUUAUUCUACCAAAACUUUUGGAUAUUAUCAACUAUGAUUUCAUGGCUGUUGUGAGGAAUUUUGAAAAUGGUUGCUUAGACUUGGUUCGCCCGAAUUAUGUCAUUGUCACCUUAAUUCCUAAGGAAGUACAUGCAAAAGAGAUGAAUUUUUUAGACCAAUUAGCUUGAGUAAUUUCUCCAUUAAGAUUUUAAGCAAAGCUUUGACUAAUAGGGUUUUUUCACUAGUAGGGUUUCCCCAAUUAGUGAUAGAGAACUAUCUUCCUGCCAACAUUCUUUUGUCAAAGGGAGAUAUAUUCUUGAAAGUGUUGUUACUGCCCAUGAAACAAUUCAUGAACUACAAUAGUCUAAACUUUCUGGGAUUGUCCUCAAAUUAUACCAUGAAAAAGCCUAUGACAGAGUAAAUUGGGGCUUCUUAGUAGAGAUGCUUUCUUCAAGGGUUUUGGGAACAAAGUGAUUAGUUGGGUGACCAGUACUAUUUAGAAUUGUUCUUGUUGUGUUAGAGUGAAUAUUCAAGUUGGCUCUCUUUUUGUUAGUGGUAUAGGCCUUAAACAAGGUGAUCAUCUUCCCCCCAUUAUUUUCAAUUUGGUAGCUCAUGUUUUUUUCCAUAAUGUUACUAAAAGCCUAUUUGAAUAACAUUAAUUCUAGGGUUAUCCCACAUGUUGUUUCUAGUGGGAUCAUUAGCCUACAAGCUGAUGAAACCUUGUUAUUUUUCGACCCUAGUAUUUAAAAUGCUAGAAAUGUUAAAUGGUUGCUAUCUUGCUUUGAGGGUUUAUCUGGGAUGAAGAUUAAUUUUUAAAAGUGAUUUGUUGACUAUCAACGUGGAAAAGGAGGUAUCCUCUGGUCUAGAGAGGGUGUUGGGUCCCCCUCUUGGAAAGGUUUUUCUUGGGCCUUAGCUGGAGUUAGACCUUUUUAUAAAUGGAAACUGGGAAAUGGGAGUAAAAUUUCCUUUUGGCAUGAUGUAUGGGUUGGAGACAUUUCCUUGAAAACCCAAUUCUAGAAUGUUUUUUAUUUGUGCCAACAACAAAUCUAUACUGUGUAACAGGUGUGGGAUUGGCAUACUUUGAAAAUGACUUUUAGGAGUGUGUUAAUGUUUUCUUUUUGGAACAGUGGAAUGCCUACUUUCCAUCCUUCACUAUACUCACCUCUCUGGUGAGUUGGAUGAACCUGUUUGGAGUCGAGAAGUUUCUGGCAAUUAUUCUACUAAGUCUUUUUAUAAACAAAUCAAUUGGGAUGGAUUUACUACUCCCAUUUGGGACAAGUUUUGGAAAAUCGAAGUGCGUCAUAGAUAUUUGGUCUUUGCAUGGUUAGUAAUACAUAACAAAAUUUUAACCAGGGACAACCUGAGUAAAAGGCAAAAUGUAGAGGAUGCCUCUUGCUUAUUUUGUAAUGAAUCAGAAACUGUUAACCAUUUGAUAUGUGAGUGCAUUGUAGCAAAAACAUCUGGCAAACUGUAUCUGAAGUAUUUGAUUUUACGGUUCCUAUCCAUGUUACUGAAUUUCCUCCCCUAUGGGACUAUAAUAAUAAUAAGAGUAUUAUUGGCAUUAUAGUUAUGACUACCAUGUGGAGCUUAUGGACAACUCAUAGUGAUAUCUAUUUUCAGGGAGCUGUCUGGUGGGGUACCCGGAUUAUUCUGGGGGAAAUCAGCAAGCUACUACUUCGCUGGUUCAUUCUGUGCCCGGAGGAACAAACAUAGGUGAUGAAGCAAUGUCUGGACAGAAAAAGAGGUGAGCUCCUAAGGAUUGCCUGGCGAGGGGAAAUAAAUGUGAUGCGGGACAUGACAAGCUAGGCUUCUAUAUGAGGGCUCAUUCUCACUAGGGGGUGUGCGUCUUAUGGUAGUCUUCUAGUCUUGUUGAACCUCCUGCCUAACUAUUCCGGCACCUAUGCUAGCUCUCUUAGCACUUUCGUUGAACUUGUAGCUAUGUUUGGUUCAACUACUCUAGCUGUUGGUUGAGCGCUGUGAACAAGAUCUGGUCGUUGUUUUGCCUCGUUUUAAUAAAAUGAUGAGGGGGAAAACCCCUUUUCGUAAAAUAAAAUAAAAUGGAUAGAGCCAGCAACAUAGGAUAGUUGAAGGGGUUCUAUAACUAACUGUGGAAUAUGUUGUAACAUUAUAAUAUGUAGAUGAUAGAAUUUUUUUGCCUCGAGAUGAUGAAUUGAAUGCAAAAAGAUGAAAUUUAUCUUAUGUGCCUUUGAACAAAUGACAUGGCCUACAAUAAGUUUCCAGACAAGUAAGGUUUACCUAUUUGCAGAAGCCACUAAUAAGUUGAAAUCUACCAGGAUAUAUUUACUUGCAAAUUGGUUGAGGUGCCUUUGAAAUAUCCGGGCAUUCCUACCUCUGAUGUGUGGAUAAGCAACAAACACCGGAAAGAGGUAGGAAAUAAAAUAGAGAAGAUAUUGUGCCCGUUUGCAAGGGGAAAUUGUUCAGUAUUGUUGGGAGGCUGGUGUUGGUGCAAGCUAGCUUGAGUAAUAUACCAUUAUACAUGAUGUCCUUCUAUCCCAUUCUUGUUGGGGUAUGAAGAGAGCUUAUUUCUUUAGAGAUAGAUUUGUUUGACAAGGAGAUGCGGAUAAGAAGAAAUAUCACCUGGUUAAUUGGAAAUAUGUUUGUAGACCAAAAGAAUAGGGAGGUUUGGGGGUUCCGAAUUUGGAGUUUAUGAGCAAAGCUUUGAUGGCAAAGUGGUUUUGGAAGCUAGAGACUGAAGAAGGUUUAUAGCAAUAUGUGAAAUACAUAUGUAAAAAUAAGUGCUUGUUUGGAAUCAAAGCCAAGGGGGGGAUUCUCAAUUUUGAUCUAAUUUGGUGAAAUUUUUUGUUGGUAUUGCUGCCAUCUUAUCUGUGAGCCGCCCUCACUGGCAUACGAUGGCGUCAUUAGUGACCUUGUAAUGGCUUGAGGUUACCCACCUCGAAGCUGGACGAGACAGAGUAGCGCUGCUCCUAGGAUCUUAUAUUCGGGAUUUGGCCAUCAUCUUUCACGGUUGGACCAGUCUGUGGUGGAGGACAAAGUUGUCAUGGGAAAAGUAGGAUGGGGAUACCACACAUACCCAAGUAGCCAUUCCCCAUGCGAGUCCAUUCCCACCCGCCACCCGCAAGAAGGCAAAGAUUUGGUGGAUGACAUAUGUAAAGUUAAAAGCUAGAAAUGUUUACAUCCCAGAUUUUGUUUUGCCGUCAAAAGGCCGGAGGGGCUAGGAGUGUCUCGGAAGUGUGUUUAAACAUUUUUUUUGCGGUUAAGAAAAGUGCAAACUACAUUACGCAAAAUGUAGUAUGAUGUUGUUUCCACUUCCCACUACCAGAAUAAAGGGUGGGAAAAAAUCAUUGUGGCUUGCUUAGAGCAUCUACAACCGAACCCCAUAUCCGCCCAAAUGCCCGCCUGCCUAGUCACUGUAUAGACGAGAAAUUGUCACACAACCAGACGCCCCAUAUUCGGCCCAAAUGUCCGGACUGACGGGCAACCCCAUAUUCAGCCCAUAUGGGGGUGGAUAUAGGGACGCCCGGACGCGUCCACCAUGUCGGAUUUGACCCACUCUGGCCCACCCGACCCCACAUAAAUUGGAUCCUAUCCACACUCCGGAUGAACCCUAGCCGCAUUCCACUCCCCUCCCCUACCCUCCAAUCCACUCCCCUCUGGCCACAUGCUCCUGUCCGGUGAUCUCCCACCUUCUCUAGCAUCGCGGGUAGUGGAGGCGAGUCCUACAACUCCAGAUCCGUUGACCCGAAACUCGUCCCACGCGGACCCGAGGAGGAGAUUGCCUUCCGCCUUGCUCCGCACCGCUCCCGGGAGGAGGCUUGCCGACGGUAGCAGUCAGACUACUUCGCCAGGAAUCCAUUGCGUCCACCCAAAUGGCGCAUGGAUCUGGCGCGAGGUGUGCCGCCGCUGCCUCACCGGAGGCAGUGCAGUCCGUCUGGUGUCCAAACGUGGUGGCGGAUGCGCAACCGCUUUAUUGGCACGCCGAGGCAAGUAUGUCACAUCGUGGCGCCGUGCAAGGCAGCGGGUGCGGGAGGUGCCGGCAGCCCUCACGGCGGACAUUGGCAAGGCGGAGCCGCACUCUUUUUUUUUUGCGGGGCCGCACUCUCUGACGCCACGUAUGAUGCACAGACUAAUAGUAUAUGUAAUCUCAAAUAAUAAAGUAAUAGCAUCCUCACUUUGUUUGUGAGGUUAAUAGUAUCCUCAUCUAACACAGACUUAAAAGAAGAUCUCUCCAGUUCCACUUCCUUUUAAUCGAAGGCCGCUCCGCCUGUCGCACUAUCCUUGGGAGAUGCGCAGAUCCAUCGUACUCCCUCCAAAUCAUAUAUUAGUCAGACACGUUAGGUCUUUAAUUUGACUAAUAAAACCUUUAUAAUAUGCCACACAAAUUAUAUGAUCCGAAACUAUAUUUGGCAAUGAAUCUAAAGAUAUAUUUUAUUCAUAAAAUAUAAUACAUGUUUUCCUAGUUAGAUCGAAGAACUCUAAACCUGUGCCCGACUUAUAAACCGAACCAGAGGGAGCAGUUGUUUUUAGGUGGAUGACAUAUGUAAGAUUAAUGACUAGAAAUGCUUAAUCCCAACUUUCAUUUUGCCGCGAAAGGGCCAUAGGAGCUAGGAACGUCUCGAAAAUGUAGUACACACAUUUUUUGCGGUUAUGAAAAGUGUUAAGUACAUUACCCAAAAUGUAGUAUAAUGUUGUUUCCACUUUACACUACUAUAAUAAAGGGUGAAAAAAAAUCAUUGUGGCUUGCUUAGAGCAUCUACAACCAGACCCCAUAUCCGCCCCAAACGCCGGUUCCCUAGUCACUGUCUAGACGAGAGAUUGUCACCCAACCGGGCGUCCCAUAUUCGGCCCAAACUUUCGAACUACCUGGAGCUUGUCCUACACGGCCUCAAAGAGGAGAUUGCCUUCCGCCUUACUCUGGCCGCUCCUGGGAGGAGGCUGGCCGACGGUAGCGGUCAGACUACUUCUGCCAGGAAUUCAUUGCAUUCGUCCAAAUGGCGCAUGGAUCUGGCGCGAGGCGUGCCGCCACUGCCUCAUCGAAGGCAUUGCAGUCCGUCUGUCGUGCAAAUGCGGUGGCGAAUGCGCAACCGCUUCAUUGGCGCGUGUAGGCAAGUAUGGCACGUCGUGCCCGCCAUGCAAGGCAACGGAUGCGGCAGGCGCCGGCAGCCCUCUCGACUUACGUUGGCAAGGCAGAGACACACUCUCCGACUCCGCAUAUGGUGCACAGACUAAUGGUACAAGUAGUCUCAAAUAAUUAACUAAUAGCACCCUCAUCUUUUUUCCGAGGUUAAUAGUAUCCUCAUCUAACACGGACUUAAAAGAAGAGGUCUCCAGUUCCACUUCCUUUUAAUCGAAGGCCGUUCCGCCUGUCGCACUAUCUUUGGGAGUUGCGCGGAUCCAUCGUAUUCCCUACAGAUCGUAUAUUAGUCAGACAUGGAUUUUUAGGUCUUCAAUUUGACUAAUAAAACCUGUAUACUAUGCUACACAGAUUAUAUGAUCCGAAACUAUGGCCCAGUUCUUUUGAGCAGAUUAUGAAGAAUCUCGGUCCCGAAAAUCCCGGGCGAAAGAAGAACUUCCAAAAUCGCAACCGGAUUCUGCAGAAGCCUAGUGCAAUCCAAAAUCCCAAAAUACCCGGUUUCUCCCACAAUCUCAGAAUUCUGGCUAGUCCUAUAAAAAAAACGUUUCCAAGUAUAGCUGUACCCCUAUUGUAUCACAUAUCUACGGUCGAAAUGCCACCCCGCAGUCCAGCCCAGGACCCCGAAAACGAGCGGACGCACCCGACCGCUCGCUCAUCUCCCAGUUCCCGCACCGCAUCGGGGCAGCGGACCUUCGAGCCGCCCCCACCCCCACCGGCCAGCCUCCCUUGCCCGGUCCGCCCCGCCCUCCCCGCCCGGCAGUUCGCCCCGCCCCGUCAGCUUCGGGGCAGCGGCUAGGGUUGCCGCGCCGCCGCCGGCCAGGCCAAGCCGUCUCCGCCCCCGCCGGCCAGCUUCCAUCCUCAGCUCCUCGCCCCUCAGUCCGCCCUGGCCCUCAGCCCCGUCCCGCAAAGUUCGACGCCGACGCUCACGGUGAGCCCUCCUUUUUGCAUCUCUUUGUUUCUUCAUGCUUGAAUUGAUGCUAGCUAUUGUUGAUAGAUAAAAUACAUUUCAUCAAACAAAUUCUGUCUAAGGGUAGUACAGACAUUUCAACACACAAAACUUUCUAGAAUCUCAAACUACAAUCUUUGAAAAGAACUCGAUGACAGAUUCUGAAAGAAUUUUCCAGAAUCCUGAUUCUGUAGAAUCUUGCCUGAAAAGAACUGGCCCAUUUGACAAUGAAUCUAAAGAUAUAUUUUCUUCAUAAAAUAUAAUACAUGUUUUCCUAGUUAGAUCGGAGAACUCUAAACCUGUGCUUGACUUAUAAACCAAACCGGUGGGAGGAGUAGUUUUUAGGUGGAUGACAUAUGUAAGAUUAAAGACCAGAAAUGCUUAGAUCCCAUUUUUGUUUUGGCGUGAAGAGACCGGAGGAGCUAGGAGCGUCUCGGAAAUGUAGUUUACGCAUUCUUUUGCGGUUAAGAAAAGUGUAAACUACAUUACCUAAAAUGUAGUAUAAUACCGUUUCCACUUUCCACUACCAUAAUAAAGGGUGGGAUUUUUUUUAUUGUGGCUUGCUUAGAGCAUCUACAACCGGACCCCAUAUCCGCCACAAACGCCCCUGCCUAGUCACUAUCUAGACGAGAAAUUGUCACCCAACCGCGCCCCAUAUUCAGUCCAAACGUCCGGACUGACCUACAACCCCAUAUUCAGCCAAUAUGUGGGGCGGAUAUAGGGACGCCCGGACGCACCCAUCAUGUCGGAUCCGACCCACUCUGGCCCAUCCGACCUCACAUAAAUUGGUUCCUAUCCGCACUCCGGACGAACCCUAGCCACAUUCCACUCCACUCCCCUCCAAUCCACUCCCCUCCGGCCACAAAUUCUCGUCCGACGAUCUCCCACCUUCUUUGGCAUGGGGGUCAGCGGAUGCGAGUCCUACACCUCCAGAUCCGUUGACCCGGAGCUCGUCCCACGUGGCCCCGAGGAGGAGAUUGCCUUCUGCCUUGCUCUACCCCGCUCCCGGGAGGAGGCUGGCCGACGGCAGCGGUCGGACUCCUUCCGCCAGGAAUCAAUUGCGUCCGUCCAAAUGGCGCAUGGAUCUGGCGCGAGGCGUGCCGCCGCUACCUCACCGGAGGCAGUGCAGUCCGUUUAGCGUUCGAACGCGGUGGCGGAUCUACAACCACUUCAUUGGCGCGCCGAGGCAAGUAUGGCACGCCGUGCCCGCCGUGCAAGGCACCAAGCGCGGGAGGCGCUGGCAGCCCUCCCAGCGGACAUUGGCGAGGCGGAGUCACACUCUCCGACGCCGCGUAUGGUGCACGUCCGCCAUAGGCGCCGCAACUGCAUUGUGAUGGACGUGGUCGGCUCCGACCUCAUGGCUCCAGAAUAGAACCCGUAAACCACCCCAACCCGUAAACAAUUUUAAGGGGCACCGCAAACAUCGCGGCCGAACCCGUGAAAAUAAGGAUUUCGGAGAUGACCCGAGGACGACCUGUAUACGUGAAAGACCGUUGGUGGGAGUCCAACUGCCAGCGGAAACUUCAUGGCUCGCUCCCUUCCGCCCGUCCCCAGCCGCAACGCCGGCCCUCACUGCCGCGCCCGCCAGCCAUCCGGCCCGUCCGCCAAGCCCGCCGGCCGUCCGCCGCUCUGGCCCGCGGUUCUCUCGACGAGGAGCUAGCUAGCUAGCUAGCCAGCCGAAUCGAUUCGAAUGGAUCAGCUAGCUAGCUAGCUAGCAGCUCAAUGGAUGCGCGUGUAGCUAGCGAAUGGAGGAGUUCGGCCGCCGCCCGCGCUGCCCGGCGGCCUUGGCCUCCGCCCGCGCGCUGCGGCCGUCUGCUGCUGCAGUCGGCAUUGCUGCUGGCCCCGGCCCGGUCGCGCUCGCUGGCGAGCACGAGGAGACGGUCGCGGAGGCAGGAGGCGCACACGGCGAGAGGACGAAGGUCGAGGUGGGAAGGGCGUGAGGAAGAAGAUGGUAUAUUUAGAGAAUAUUCUCUUUUACGGGUUGAUUAUACGGGUUCUGUUCGGCCGCAGUUAAAAUCAACCCUUAUAAUCCGUUUUCCUCAGCCCGUAAAACACUUAUGCGGGCCAUGGUUUUGCGGGGUCUGCUAGAGUUGCUCUAACAAAGUCGGUUUUUUAGGGAAGACCAUUAUGGCUAGCUUUAUUAAUAACCUUAUCAUUAAGCAAUGCUUUACAUGGUUUGCGAGGGUACCUAGUAAAAACUUGGAAGGAUCAUGGUCGCAGGUACAGGACGGUUUAUAAUUAUAAAAAAACAGUUUGCACAUUCGUUUCCAUUUUUGCAAGGCUCUACAACAUGUCUCUGAACCCGUGGUUCCCAUCGGCCCAUGUCGACGCAGCAAAGGCAGGCAGGCAGGCAAGGAAGAAGAAUGUAAACCUUCUCCUUUCCGUCAAAGUUCGUCAGCUAGCGUAGGAGUGAAGCUGCGAGGAAUCCCGGCGCGUCGCCCGCUUUUGCCCCCAGGUUGGUUGCCCGAGUUGGGCAGACAAACCCAAUUCUGUUCCGCACGCACAGUCCUCCCUGCGUUCCCUGCGUUCCUCAGCAGCGUUGAGGCGUAAAUUUGAACCGCAAAUGCGCCGACCCAAACGGGCGCAGGCGGACAAAAUGGGUCGGCCCUUUGCAGUUGCUCUUCCGCACGCACAGUCCGCCCUGCGUUCCCUAGCAGUACUAGUACUGUUUUUUUUUCUUCUUCAGAUUUUUUCAUUUCCAUGCACGGAGAAAAUAUCAGGAGCGAGCGAGCGUCAGCUGGUGGGCCGCAGCGUGGGGCCGCUGCCACGAACGGGUUGCGUUAUAUAUAAGCGGAGGGGAACAGUACAACCAUCGACCAUCUCCGGCUCGCUCGUCGCCCACCCCACCCUCUCUCAUCCUCCCUCCCCCCGGACCGAAUUUGACGACUCCUUUGACCUCUCNNNNNNNNNNNNNNNNNNNNNNNNNNNNNNNNNNNNNNNNNNNNNNNNNNNNNNNNNNNNNNNNNNNNNNNNNNNNNNNNNNNNNNNNNNNNNNNNNNNNNNNNNNNNNNNNNNNNNNNNNNNNNNNNNNNNNNNNNNNNNNNNNNNNNNNNNNNNNNNNNNNNNNNNNNNNNNNNNNNNNNNNNNNNNNNNNNNNNNNNNNNNNNNNNNNNNNNNNNNNNNNNNNNNNNNNNNNNNNNNNNNNNNNNNNNNNNNNNNNNNNNNNNNNNNNNNNNNNNNNNNNNNNNNNNNNNNNNNNNNNNNNNNNNNNNNNNNNNNNNNNNNNNNNNNNNNNNNNNNNNNNNNNNNNNNNNNNNNNNNNNNNNNNNNNNNNNNNNNNNNNNNNNNNNNNNNNNNNNNNNNNNNNNNNNNNNNNNNNNNNNNNNNNNNNNNNNNNNNNNNNNNNNNNNNNNNNNNNNNNNNNNNNNNNNNNUUCCAUGGCCAACAGCAACCUCCCCCGCCGGAUCAUCAAGGUGCGUGCGAUUCCGAUCGCCCCCUCCCGCCCGCCAGAUCUGUCCUCCGUUUCGCUUGUAAUCCGUCCGCGCCGCGCGCCUAACCCUUUCCGAAUUUGGAUCUGCCCCUGCAGGAGACGCAGCGGCUGCUCAGCGAGCCAGGUUUGUUCUUCUUCUCGCACAGAGAGAAUUCCGGUCGAUUUCGGCGCCCCCCCCCGGUGUCUGUUGUUCUGAUUCGUGUGUGUGUGUGUCGAUCCGUGCAGCGCCGGGGAUCAGCGCCUCACCGUCGGAGGAGAACAUGCGCUACUUCAAUGUCAUGGUCCUUGGCCCCGCGCAGUCUCCCUACGAAGGCAUGAUACAUAUGCCUUUUUUUCUUCCAUAUAAUAUAUCGUUUGUUUCCCCUGCUGAAAUAGCGUGUCUACCAGUAUCUAUGUGCUCUCCAUCCUGCAAUGCUAUGGGGCUACGGAUGUAUAGUGUCUGGUCUUCCUGGACUGCAAUUGUUGUUGCUGUACUCUGAUUACUUGUAUUAUUAUGCAUCUGUUUGUGGCCUUUAUAUGUGCUAUCUUCCGCUUGUAAAAAUUUCUGCAGAUGUGUUGUAAAACAGCAUGGAUGGUAAUGCUACCAGUAUGAUCACCUAGGGGCGUUGCUCUAGUGCCACGGCUGCUGUACGCCUGUAAACUUAUCUUGUCUGAGUACCGAAUAGCUUAUAGCACUAGUGUCGCCAUCAUGUGCUGGUUCAAUUCCAUUUUGUUUUGAUUCAUCCUGGUGCUUUCCAUUCUUCCAGUGUCCUUGUAAGAAAAGCUUACAUAUCCGUUGUAAGAAAGGUUACACAUCCAUGUUGAGCUUGCACUUUAUUGGUUAUACGCCAAAGUAGCUUUACAUAACCAUUGGGGUUGUAGAUGGUUGGCACAUAGGACUGCAUGAACCUGCUUUCUAUCUGCACUACAAGUUAUGCCACAUAGGAAGACCACCCUUUGCAUUUACGCCUGCUAUAUGUGUACUCAUGAUAUGUGUGACAAGUUUUGACUCCUUCAUGCUAGAUCUAUGACAUUGACAUAUUAAUCUUAGAUACUAAAUGUUGCGUGUAACUAAUAAAUGGCAGAAAUAACACCUUGUUUUCUAUUGUCGGAUGGUUGGAGAGUACCAUUUGUCACUUUACUGCUUAAGCUUAUGAUGUGCUCUAAUUUUAAUGGCCUCACUUUUAUGGCAAGCCACAAGUUGUCUAAAGCUUAGCUGUGGCAUAACUUGUAAUGCUAUGGGGGUACACGGAUGUAAUAGUGUUGGUGUUCCUUCCUUGACCGCAAUUUUCGUUGCUGUAUUCUGAUUACCUGUAUUAUCUAGUAUCUGUUUGUGGCCUUUCUAUGUGCUAUAUUCUGCUUGUAAAAUUUUCUGCAGAUGUGUUGUAAACCAGCAUAGAUGGUAAUACUAGCAGUAUGAUCACCUAGAGGCGUUGCUCUAGUGAUGCCGCAGCUGUACACCUGUAAACUUAUCUUGUCUGAGUAGUGGAUGGAGCAGCAGGGUCACCAUCAUGUGCCUGGGUUAACUCCAUUUUUCUUUGGUUCAUCCUGGUGGUUGUUGUGCUCGUAGUGUGCUUAUAAGAAAAGUUUACAUAUCCAUUGUAAGAAGAUGACGUAUACAUAUUGCGCUUUGUUUUUUAUGCACCAAAAUAGAUUUACAUAUCCAGUCUGGACGGUUGUCACAUAGGACUGCAUGAGCUCUAUUGAACCUGCUUUCUACUUGUACAAGUCAUGCCACAUCGGAAGAUUGCCUUUUGCAUUUACGCUUGCUAUAAGUGUAGUUGUGAUAUGUGAGACAAGUUUUGACUCUUUCAUGCUAGAUCUAUGACAAUGUUAUAUUAAUCAAUUAGCCCGUGGAAAUUGACCAUAUCGGUAUUAUGAAUGUUACAUGUGUAAUUAAUGAAUGGCAGAAAUAACAUCUUGCUUUCUAUUGUUGGAUGGAGAGUACCAUUUGUCACUUAACUGCUUAAGCUUAUGGCGCGCUCUAAUUUUAAUGGUGACACUCUUAUGGCAAGCCACAAAUUGUCUAAGCUUAGCUGUGGCAAAACUAGCCUUGAAAACAUGUCCUUAGUUCACUUGUCUUGCCACUUGGUACGUUAUAUCUGAUUAUGUUAGGCAUUUUUAUUGGGGCAAACAUUCUUUUCCUUAUUUGUCUAUAUCUGGUGUCCUGAUUUUGUUUCUUCUGCCAUGUCUUGGACAGGUGGAGUCUUCAAGCUUGAACUUUUCUUACCCGAGGAAUAUCCGAUGGCUGCUCCUAAAGUAAACUUUUAUUUAUCGAGAAUAAGUUAGUUUUGGUUUAAAGAGCUAUUAGUUGAAACUUAAUAGUACUGUGAUGGAUCAUGGAUGUGCUUGUCUUGGUGAAGUCCUUGAUGUAAAUUUCGGUUGUUCCAUAGUCGUCAUUGCGAAUCACUAUUUUCAAAAUCUAUCACGGUGAUCUUGGCAAAGUUUGUAUGGCACUAAAAUUUGAUAAUAGGAAUGGGCUGCCAUCUCGUUGUCCUUUCCCUGGUCUCCUUCUUAUUUAUGCCUGUGGCUAAUUGAACUGAGCACAUUGUUUCUGUCGUAGUAAAGAACUCUGAGCACAUUAUUUCUGUUGUAGUAAAGAACUAUGCUGCAUAGUUAUUCCAACAACCAUAAUACACAAUGAAGUUGGAAUGUAACAUCACUAUGCGAAUCUUCCUGCUAUGUUUCUACCUUGUUUCAUUCAUGUAUGUUAUUUACAUCUGUUGCGUGGUGCCAUUGUUUGUUCUUGAGAUGUUCUAUUCUUUGACUUGCACACCAUCAUGGUGACCAGGAAUACGGCGAUAGUCAGUAGUAGCAUCCUGCUAAUUCUUGUAAUAUCAAUACCAGUAAAUUUGUCUUUCUGUUCACUUCGUUCAUCCUCUGUACAGUGUUCAACACUUUACUUAUUUGGCAGUGUUAUAUGGAACUCUCUGUACAUGUGAAUCAUAAUAUAACGAGUAACAUCCCAGAAUGCCAGUUGCUAUCAUGUUAAAUAAGAGGUACCCGUGUAGCUGAGAAUCUAGUUGUGGUUUGCGAAGUAUGUCUCUUUUCUGCAAUACUUUUCUAUUUGUUGUCACUGUUGUGUGAGGCUUUCUGAUGGACAUCGUUCUUUGGUUGUUCCUGAUGCAGGUUAGGUUUCUCACAAAAAUAUACCAUCCCAACAUUGACAAGGUAUGCAACUGAUAUUAUUAGCGGAACAUCAUUUUGAAAAAGAGCGUCUCAUUUCUGAUGGAUGUAAACUGCAGCUUGGUAGAAUAUGCCUCGACAUCCUAAAGGACAAGUGGAGUCCAGCUCUUCAGAUACGCACUGUUCUUCUGAGGUAACCACUGCUGACUUCCAUUGCACCUUUGCCAAGUACUCCAUCCGUCCCAUAAUGUAUGACGUUUUUUGACAUUAUGGGACGGAGGGAGUAGUUUUGUGGUAGUUGACAUAUCAUGCCUUCAUGGUAAAUAUCAUACUAUCGUAUUUCCAGAGGGAUGUUUCUGGUAUUUCUAUUGUCGACGAUGUUAGUGUACUACUUCACUGCCACUUGACAAUAUUUCGUCUGCAGCAUUCAGGCACUGCUGAGCGCCCCAAACCCAGAUGAUCCUCUCUCAGAAAACGUCGCAAAACACUGGAAAUCCAAUGAAGCUGAAGCUGUUGAGACAGGUACGUGGAGACGCUGUCAACAAAGUUACACGCUGAAACUGUGUUUUAUGCUCCACUAUCCAUUUUCUGGAUACCCACCUGACAUGCCGUUUUCCUCCAUUUCUGAUUUUCGUGAUAUCUUACCAUAUCAUUUCUGCACUUUGCAGCGAAGGAAUGGACUCGUAUGUAUGCCAGUGGCGCAUGACAAGCUAACGCUGUUAUGGAUGUAAUAACACUGUGUCAUAGUUGGGCCUAAUCGAAAACCAUUUGCUUGAUAAAAACACACUUGAAAUGAUUUGCGAUGGACGAAUGUAUCCAGAGCGGCAUCAUUUCUUGUUGGUGGUUGUAUUUGUGGUGCGUGUUCUGGCACGCUUCAUAACUUGCUGCUUAUAGAACACGCUCUGUUUCUCGUUCAUCCUCAAUUGUUUCUCCAAUUAAAAAUAUCUGUUGUGAUCCGGUAUGUAAGCUCUCCAAAUGAAAUAGUGGCUCUCUGUAUUUCUCCCCCAAACACCUCUGAUGAUUUGGUUUUCUUUUGGAUUUUUUUAGUAAUGUUCAAUUUUUUUUUCAAUCUCCAGCUGCUUUGGUUACUUUUUUUUCCCCUUUUUGGUAAGUUGAACUGAACAUACUUAUGAUUUUCCAAAUCAAAUGGUUAAUGUAUGAAUCUUGAUGAGUAAGAUUGGUUCUGAGUGAGGUAAGGUGGGGAGUGGGGGAGCUCCUAUGCAGCGCUGCUACCAUGGGCCGAUCCACUAGCGUGCUGCCCCAGUUUUAUUUGAUUUUUUUGUUACGAAAAUAAAAAUAUGAAAUCAAAAAAGGUUUACAGAUUUAAAGAAAAAAGGUUCUCCAUUUGAAAAAAAGUUCAUAUCUUUAAAAAAGGUUCAUCAAUUUUGAAACAAGUUUGUCAAUUUGGAAAAAAGAUCAUUCAAAUUGAAAAAAAAGUUCAUCCAAUUUAGCAAAAGUUCAUUAGAUUUGAAAAAUGUUCAUAGAAAUUCAAAAAAAGUUCAUGUAUUUUUAGAAAAAGGUCAUUGAACUGAAAAAAAGUUCAUAAAUAAAAAAAAGUUCAUGCAUUUUCAAAAAGAUGUUCAUCAAAUUUCAAAAAAGUUCAUCGAUAUUCGAAAAAGUUCAUCAAUCUGAAAGAAACCUGUUGAAAUUUUUAAGAAGUUCAUAGAAUUUUCAAAAAAGAAAAUGUCAACCCGCGCCUAGAUGGGCCGGCCCAUUUACGGACGCCACAUGCGCCAGUUAACGAAAAUGCUUGGAUUUUAUCAAUAAAUAUUCAUAAAUUUAAAACAAGUCCGGUUUUCUUAGAAAAAUUGAUUUCUGAAAAAACUAUUUGGACUUCAUACCAAAAUGUUCAGAUUAUUUUAAAUAAUCAUAAUAGGUUUAAAUAGCGUUCACAGUUUUAGAAAAUGUUCUUUUUAAAAAUAUUUCACAAAUAGUUCUCAAUUUUUGAAAAAACUUUUUUGAAAGAAAAUAAUACAGAGAAAAAAAGGAAAAAAAACUUGCUAUUGUAAGGGCCAGCCCAGUCGGACGCACCCUGUUUGAUUGGCAUAUGUAUAGAUUGGGUUUAAUAUUAUUGAAUAUGUAGUCAUUGCUAGUGAACGUUCGGCAAACAAGGAUGCAAGUCUCAAGGAAAAACAAAUGCAUCUUCAAAUGGAGACCGCCGGGGUUUGACUAAAUGGUGGCCGCACAUAUAAGGGCGCUCCAUAUGGGUCGACCCCAUUGAGUGUGUCGCACGGUUCGCCUUACCCAACGAAACCUAGGGUCUUUUCACGAUUUUCUCUUCGGUUUUAGGUUUUUAGCCAGUUCUAGUUAGUUUUCUGUGUCUAUUUUUUAAAUGUGUUCUGAAAAGAAAAUCACAAAUGAAAAAAGAGAUAGGAAGGGUGAUGCCCGAGCAUCAAAGAAGAGUUGAAAUGCACGCUAGAAACCUCUAUCUGUUUUGCAUCUCAACUUUGGUGAUGUUUAUAUAUAUAUAUGCAACAAACCUAACUAGCACUAAGUUAUAUGCAAAGAAAUGUUAUUCUAUUUAUUAUUAUUUUAUUCUCUAGAGACACUGAAUAUACCUCUCCCACCCCCACCAAUGCAAAGAGGCAAUAUCUAAAAAACAACUAACAUGUUUUUGGUUUGCAAUAAUAUUUUUCUGUUUAGCAUUUAUUUUUAGUAUGUUACUUUUUUUUUUUCAUAGUUUCCUGCAUUUAUUAUAUUCUAACCUUUUAGUCUAACAAGAACUUCUAAUAGUUUAAAGCGCAUGUUGAGUGAUUGGGUCAUAAAAAGUAAAUAAAAUAAAAUAAAAUAAUGCAAAUACAUGAUAGUCGUUUGUUAAUUCAGUAUCUAACAUGUUAUUUGAGAAACUCAAUCGAUUACCACGGAGUAGAGUAUCUAAACCUAGUGGCAGAGUUAGUUAUAAAGUCUUGAGUCAUUACAUCUUCCCAUUACAUGCACAUGUAUGAUUUAAGACUUUAUAACCCCGCCAUUUAUAACUAACUCUGCCACUAGCUUUAGAUACUCUUUACACAAGAAAGACUAUGACCCAUAUUAUUAUUUUUUACUAUCUGAGGUGGUACUAUGCGCACUCCUUCAAAUUAAUUAGAUGGGCCUUGCAUGCACGGUUAUUUCAUACGUACGUACGUCCCAGCCCAUGAGGGAGCAGGCAGAAGAGAAAACAAUCCCAAAUUAAUUUGAUGGCCCUCGAUUUCCUACGUACGUCCAUCCUGGCCCACGAGAGACCAGUCAACCCGAACUCGGGUUCUUCCUCUGUAAUAGCGAAAUCACUAGUUGAGGAAUACUCAUUGCAAAGAUCACUCCAACUCCACAUGUUGCGACAAGUGGCGCACAUGCAGCGCGCCACUUGUUGCAACCUGGAAGUUUCCUUUUUUUCAUAGAUCCGUUUAUUCAAAACGUUUUAUCUCUCAAACCGUGCGUCCAAAUCUCAAACAGCUUUCACCGUUGGUUUCCUCGCGUCGAGAUCUUCAAAACUAGAACCCAUGUUGAUAGGUUUUGACGAACUUUUUUCCACGAAAAAACCCGGAUCGGGAGCACGAGUUUUUUCCCUUCCGAAAGAGGCACGCCCGUGCCUCUCACAAAAUCACAACCGUGCCUCUCGCGGAAGCAAAACCGUGACUCUCGCAGAAGGAAAAAAGAAGAAGAAAAAACGCGUUUUUUUCCGUUUUCGAGGAGGCACGGCCGUGACUCUCGCGAAAGCACACUCGUGCCUCUCGCGGAAGCAAAACCGUGACUCUCGCGAAAGUAAAAUAAAACAGAAAACGUGUUUUUUUUCGUUUCCGAGAGGCACGGCCGUGCCUCUCGCACAAGCAAAACCGUGACUCUCGCGAAAGGAAAAAAAUGUGUUUCGGUUUCUGAGAGGCACGGCCAUGACUCUCGCGAAAGCACAAACAUGCCUCUCGCGGAAGCAAAACCGUGACUCUCGUGAAAGAAAAAAAAACAAAAAAAGCGUUUUUUCCCGUUUCCGAGAGGUUUUUCGCGCAAACAUUUUUUUUGGGUCGAAAAGCUAAGGAUGACCGGUGGAAAACCAAAACGUCGAAAAAACCCGUUUAAAUAGCCGAAAACGCGUGCGAAAAAAAAAUCCGGAGGGAGCGCCCAGAGCGCGACACGUGGCGAAUGGCUGAGAGCGCGCCAAGUGACGCUGGUCGUUGCGAGGCUCCUGAAGGAGCGCUCGUUAACUAGUGGCUCCCCUAGAAUAGGCGCGCAACAACCACUAAAGCCGGUAAGUGUUCUUGUUUGUUAAGCAGCGCUACAGUUUAAAACUAUCUAUAUUCGUCGCCCUGUUUUUUUCCUUUUUUAUUUUCCUUCCUUUAUUUUUCUUUUCAAUUUAUUCAUUUACACUCUUUAUUUUUUUGCCUUUUUAAGUUUUUUUUAUUUUCAAAAAAAAUGCUCACGCUUUUCAAAUUUUGUUCAAAACUUCAGAAAAGUUCUAUUUUUCAGAAUUCCUUCAUAAAUUUUCAAAAUAUUCGGAUUCCAAAAAUGGUAUGAGAAUUUCUAAAAAAAGUUCAUCUCUUUGCAAAAUUGUUCAGAAUGUCAAAACUCAAUUAUUUUUUAAAAUCAUGAAUAACAUUUUGAAAACUAAUUUUUUGAACAUUGUUUAGAAGACCAAAAUUGGAAUUUCAAACAUUUUUCAAAAAGGUGAAAAUAAUUUGAAACCAGAAAAGUUGUUGAAUUUGCCUGAACAUUUUUUAUUUGUGAUUUUUUAAUACAUGCAAUUUUCUGAAAAUUCCUAUAAUUAUUUGAAAUAGUGAACAUGAUUUGAAAUUGCCGCUUUUUGAAUUUAUAAUUCUUUUGGACAAGGGAACUUUUUGAGUUUGUGAAAAAAAAUUGUGAAGACUAUAAUAUUUUUGAUAUUAUGAAAAGAAUUUUGAAAUCGUAAACAUUUUUGAAAUUCCUGAACAUUUUUGAAGCGCAAAUAUUUUUUAAAUUUGUGAACAAAUUUUGAAAAUCAAGAAAUUAAAGGCAUGGUUGCACGCUCCAAUCAAGGAGGAUCAUGCAAAACGGAUGCUGAAAGGAGGGAGGAGGGACACUAGCAUGAGAAAACCCAUGAGUGAUUGUGUUUUCUCAUGCCAAUAAGGGGGAAUCUAAAUAGCACACUUAACUAAAAGGAGGGACUCAGCCAAUAAGGGGCCAUCUGAAGAGCACGCGCAUCGCUUGCUCGAUACAAAAAUAAAUGCACUUUAGUUGAUUAUUUCAGUUAUGAAGUUUGAAAAUUAUUCUAACUUUAAUAGUGAGCUAUGCAAAUCCUUUUUUCUGGUAAAUUCAAUAAAAAAUAUAUGGAUAAACCACAUUGCAUUACACAAAUAAACCGCAUUGACAGAGUAAUACACUAAUGUGCUAUUUAUCAAUUACCGUUCCUCAUCAUCUCAGAAAGAAUUCGACCAUGAUACAAUGCAAGAUGCUCACAUGCACGGACGCACACCCUACUUCUAUGCGUUCCUCUGAGAUAGUGAGUCACAACAUCUUAAGAUUUGACUCCACCACAUCUGGAUUCUUGCGCUUUGUUUGUUGUGUUUUUUUAGAAGAACGCAUGGAUAACUUUCUCUCCCCUUUGCAACGCACGGGCAAUUUUGCUAGUUUUUUCUUAAAUGUGCACACCUCCCUUUUUUUUACAGAACUUGUCCUCCUUUAUUCACUUAGCAAAAUAGUGGCAUCGUUUACAAGUAAUGAAAGCAGUACAUCCGGUGCCGAAUCCACCCAGAUAGAAGGAUGAGAACUUAACUAUCCUAGCGAGUUCAUGAGCUACUUUAUUACUCUCUCUAUUACAAUGAUCAUAAAUUACAUGAUUAAAAUCUGACGACAUGAAAUAACAAUCAUGAAUAAUUGCACUUGCCACCGAAGAGGAGUUGCCUGCUCUCAAAGCUUCCACAACCUCCAUGCUAUCCGAGUUGAUCACGAUCUUGCUCCAUCCAAUGGUUCUGGCUAGAUUCAAGCCAAAUCUGACCGCCAAUGCUUGUGCAGUGAACGAAUUCUUGCGUCCGCAACUGCAUGUGAGUCACGUGCCCAGGAGCGUGAACUAGCUCGAUCCAUUGGCUCGAUCCAUCUUAUGUGCACCGCACGCUACAUGCACGAGGCUGGUGGAAUGGAUAAGCUGCCGCUCGACUUGUCCAGUCCGGCCGGCACUCGAUCGCGGCCGUGCCAACUACACCUGGCGCGCGCGCGCGGGAGACGGAGAUUCUCCGCAAUCCCUCCUGGAUGCGCGCACGCACAGCACAGCCCGGUGCAUGCAUGGUGUAAUCCGAGCCGACCGGCCCGGGUGGCAGAGAAGAGGCGCUGCCCAUUCGGCGAGCGGUCAGCUCCCCGACGGGAGGCAGCAAGCAGAGGCGGUGCAUCCAUCCUGAUCCUGCCCCGCCGAUUCACCAAGGGCCGUCCUUCCCCUUGCCCCCGGCGGCCGGCGUCGAUCCUUCCCCUUGCACAACGGAAACCAGCAAAGCAAACACAACGUCCGGACUCUGCCGUGCUCUCCUCGAUCGAUUCGCCUUGGGACGUGACGCAUGCAUGCAUGCACCAGCUGCAUGUUGUUUUCCUUUCUUUUUGAACUGGAAGGGGGAUAGGCAGGAGGUCCCUGCCCCGGCUCUCCCAGUGAUAGAUCUGCCACAGCGUUCGGGGGCAUGGACAUCUUUUCAGAGAAAAGGACAGAGCUCGACUUUAUAAAUAAAGCCACGAGGAGAGUAACAACAAGCCACAUAAACGAACCACCAAAACAACCACAAAGUAUCGGUGCCACACCAAUCAGACUGAAGUUUAACGUACACGGCUCCCAGGCCAGUACACGGCACGCAGGCCAGUACACGGCACGCAGGCCGGAGACUCAAGAACAACGAUAGCAGGGCCAACAACUCCUAACUGCCGGCCUGAGCUCGAGGAAGGGAGGUAGCAGUAGCCCGAAUCUUGGUAGCCAUAUCAUCAAAAGCAUCCCGAUCCUCCUCCUUAGUCAAUAAUCUCCACUGCUGCAGGAAUAUGCAAGUUUUAAAUAAGCAAUCAACAGGUUUAGCAGGAAAAACAUGUUCAAUGGUAAACUUGUUCCUAGUCGUCCAGAGGGUCCAGCACAUCGCUGCAUAUCCCACCCAGAACAUUCUUCUCUGGGCCCCAACCAGGUUACGGGCCAGAAGACGAAGAUCUGAGAAGGAAGCCGGUCUCCAAGAGACAUGAAGCAACGAUCUGAUACAACAUCAAAAGAGUUUAGCCAAGACACAAUUGAAGAAGAUAUGAGGUGUCCUCUCUCUGGCCACAAAGAGCACAUCAAUCAGAUCCUGGACCAUUACGCUUGCGAACCUGGUCAGCAGCCGGCAGACACCCACGGGAGGCCUGCCAUAAGAAGACCUUAACCUUCGGAGGGAUGCGGGCCCUCCAGAUCCACUUAAAUUUGGAAGUGAUCGAGCUAGAAAUCAGCUUGCCAUACAACGACUUAACAGAGAACCACCCAGACGCAGAGUGGGGCCAGGCCACCGAGUCCUCCUCCUCCGAGAGCACAGGGAAGUGGGCAACAAGACGCUGCCAAUCGACCAACUCUUCAGGAGACAAAGAACGCCGCAACUGAAGGUCCCAGUUGUUGUCAGAGAGCUUAGAGAUCGAGAUCAUGGGAUUAGGGCAGUAAGAAAAAAGAACUGGGAAAGAAACAUCAAGAGUGGUAGUACCGCACCACCAAUCGAGCCAAAACCUAGUAGAUCUACUAUUAUGAACCACAAACUUGACUAGGCCUUGAAACACCGGCCUAAGCUUUACAAGAUCUUUCCUGAACUGAGAAGCGCCUGCAGUGGGGGCAAACAUAGGGCUGGAGGAAGAGAAGUAUUUGGCUUUGAGGAUGUUAUACCAAAGGGGUUUAUCCGGGGUAGACAUGAUCUUCCACCACCAUUUAAUGAUCAGGCAUUUGUUCAUGACUAAAGUAUUUCCAUGAUUAAAAUAAAUUCAUGGAUGUGUUGUCAAAGAAGACAUAACGAGUGCUUCAAAAUGCUUUAAAAAAUAGCUGGUUAGGAACAUUGAUCUUUUAUUGCCCAGACCUCGACGAAUUUCAUUCCAUCAUGAACAUUUGCAUGCAUUUGAAACAUUCAUCAAUGUUUAUCAUAACAACAGAUACAUAAUUUUUUGAUAUUUUUUAUUUUUAUUAACACUUUACUGUUCAUCCAAGUGCAUGUGCACCCGAGAGCAGAAACUCCAUGUUCAUGUGAAGUUUACUAGGUCAUAAACUUCAUGUAACAAACAAAAUAAAUAAUAAUGAUUUUGUAGCACUUAAAAACACAAAACGACAACUACACAAUGUCAAGAGAUUCUUAACUCCUAAUUCAUGAAUUGUCAGUCAACCCCAACUGCCAUUUCACCCAUAAUUUGGUGUUGUUUUAGUCAUUAUAGCACUUAACCCCUCUCUGGAGCGAUUUUGUGUGUGUGUGUGUGUGUGUGUGUGUGUGUGUGUGUGUGUUGUGUUUGUGCACGUGUUUAAUGUGUGCGCUGCCCAUGAGUAAAAGAAAAAUCCACGUUUCAUUUUUUUUUUUCAAAAAACAUGCACAUAUAAUUUAGCUGAAACUAACCCAUGCAUAUUCUUUUGGAAAAUAAUAUGAUCAUUUGGUCAAAAUGAGAACGAAAGCACUAUAAUUAAAAACUUUCACGCGUAAGGUUCUAACCAAUACUACCUUUAACCUGUUUUCUUCGUAAUUUUUCAAAACCUAUCAACAAGGAUAUCUUUUUUGCUAAGUUUUUGGAACUGAGUUCCGGUGGUAAUCAACCGAUGGUCCAAAAAUCCGCCCUCGUUUACGCCCAUCUUUGUUUUUGCCAAGUUUGAUGAUAUAGACUAGUACUUAAUUCGUAGUAUCGUGGAUACUUUCGGGCACCUCGAUAUUUGAUCUUUUCCGGAAACAAGACAGGGCGUGGUGCACUGAGCCCAUACCAUUCCAAGAGUUCAAUUAGGCCGACCGACGACGUGAGCUCCACCUCUUUUCCCUUGCUCGAAAUCGAAAGGGGGCACGUAGAGUACGUCCACAUGGCGGCAACUUUUCAAAGGCAGAAUCCUCCUGCAUCUGCAUGGCAUCCAUGCAUGUCGACUAAACCAACAGGCAACAGCUCUAUUAAUGGGUCGGCCCAUCGGAGCGGCGGUGCAAGAUCAUCGGAGCGGCAUGUCGCAUCACACGUACGACACGCAGGCUAGCUAGAUUGGCCGGCGUGACCCCAUUCGAUCUCUCCCUGAUUCUUUGCCCUUUCCUGCUCCGGCUCCGGCUCCGGCUCCAGGUGGGUGUGGGUGCUCCAUCAUCUGUCAGUAAUGACGGACGGACGGCCCUGUCAAUAAUCGAGCAAGGACAAGGGUUUUAUUCCGCGUGUGACUCAUUGCCCGUACGUGCCAACGGCCUGAUUUACGAGCAAGUUGGCCACAGGGUUCGUUUGCCUACUCGACACCUAGGGUUGAAGAAGGCGAAAUCGCUGCUUCUGCUAACCCAGAAACGUCUCCACACUAGGCUACACAAGUGUACGUACGCGUCCGUCCAUGCAUUGCACGCUGGUGCAACGGCCGGGGGAAGUUGAUCGGGGCAGACACUCGCAGCGGGUGCGGAAAGAAGCCCACCUGGGACGCACGGAUUUGCGUCGGGCAAUGCAAUGCAAAGCUCGCUCCAUCCGGCGCUAGCCGUCGUGCUCGAGGAAAAAGCUGUUCGGUAGGAUUCCAACUCAGGCGACCGUAGGCGCAAUCGGUCGCCCGUCCGUACGCCUGAGUGCCCGUCACCGUCGAUCGACCUCACUCGACUUAUAACCAGCUCAUCGAUCGAACUAACUGUCGAUGCAGAUGGGCCGUCGCGAGUCGAGGAGAGGCCCGUGCAUGCGGGCCACGAACGGACGUCUUGUCCUGCUCGAUCAUGGUUGGGCCGUCUUCCCGUCCGAUCAUCGGCACGUGACAGCUAGCGGGGGAGAUCGAUCGAUCGAUCGCACUGCCUGAGCGCGCGCGCCUCCUAUACGCACGUACAGUACGUACGACGCGCAGAUCCAGAUCGAUCGUCGAUGUUCCAUCGCCGAUCCGGCACGGAAACCGCCUGAUCGGCGUGCGUGCGUACUACGCCCGCGUUCGUGGUGUGUUCCCCGUCCGGCCGGCUGCUGCCGGAUCAAUGCCGAUGCGACGGCCAGCGGUCCCGGCGCAGGAUGCCUGGGCGCUGGUACUGUGCGCCUGGGCAAUUGGCAUGUGAGCUUUUUUUUUUAGCAGAAAUUGGCAUGUGAGAUCGAGUCUGGAGUAGCCGGUGGUCGACCGGGCCGGAGCCACAAGUCCAACGAGCGAUCCACAUGUAGAUCGAGCAACAUCCUGUGCUGUGCGAGCCUAUCGAUUUGGCCAGCGAUCGAUCGGCAUCCCUAGACAGCAACCCCAAAUAUAGCCAUGUUUUCAUCACGUUUACCCGUGUGGGAUAUCUACCCCACGUACCCACCCGGCCACUCCUGUCUCGAGUCACUGUGUACAGUACUAGCGAGAUGCACCAUUCGUAAAAUUCUUUUCACCAACUCCAUUGCGUUGCAUUUGUUCCUAUCCACUCAAGCUCAAGACCAAGAGCGUCUCUAUCCGAUCUCCAAUAAUUUAAAGGAGGAUAUGGCCCAGAAUCCUUGCUCCUUUAAAUAAUACUCCCUCCAUCCCGUAAUACAAUAUAAAAGUGUUUUUGAUACCGCACUAUGUUAGGUUGAUCUCUUUCCGUGUGGGCCCAACGGCCCACCGGGCCCCUGAUCCGCGCCCUGAUCGGGGGCGCCCAACCACAAUAUGGUUGACGGGCCCCUGUCACGCAGCGCUACAUAAAGAGGUGGGGGCCGGCGGCACGCAGUACGAGGUUCACCGCGUUGCCAGUCUCCCCACCGAAAACCCCGACCCGAUCUAGGUCUAGCGCUGACAGUGACGGGAAGCUCCGCCGCCGCCACUGCCUACACAUCGCCGUCACCUCCACCUUGCCCACUCUCCACCAUCGCCGUGCGCCCCAGCACCACAAUGGCCUCCUCGAGUUCAUCCUCCGCUGCACAAGGUAGGUUGUUUACCGGAUCUAAUCUAGCCUAGUGAUCCAGAGGGUCUAUCAAUGGUAUCAGGCCAUCUUGGCUAGAUGAUUUUCGGUAAAAGAUAAAACAGAGAAAGAAAAAGAACUCCCUCUUCCCCAAAGAACCCUAGAAGGGCAAAGAAGAAAAGAGCGCCGCCGUAAGGCCGCGCCGUUCCUCUCGAUCCCGAAUCGCAUCGGCAAGCCGAGGAUUCGGGAAGAAGAACCACCCCACAGGGGCAAAGAGCACCACCACCGAUCCAUUCGACGGCGGCGCGCUCACCGCAAUGGGAACGCGCGACCGGCGAAGGGGUCGGCAGGGGCGCAACCGCUCCAUCCAUCUAGGUCGCCGUUGGGCGUCAGCUGCCUCUCUCUCUCUCUCUCUCUCUCUGGGGAGGUGGUGGUUGGAGAGGAAUGAAACAAAAAAAAAAU